rnacentral:rRNA from 1 species
AGCACCACAACGGGUGGAGCUUGCGGUUUAAUUGGAUUCAACGCCGGAAAUCUUACCGGGACCGACAGCAAUAUGAAGGCCAGGCUGAAGACUUUGCCGGAUUAGCUGAGAGGUGGUGCAUGGCCGCCGUCAGUUCGUACUGUGAAGCAUCCUGUUAAGUCAGGCAACGAGCGAGACCCACGCCCACAGUUGCCAGCGUACUCUCUGGAGUGACGGGUACACUGUGGGGACCGCCGCUGCUAAAGCGGAGGAAGGAAUGGGCAACGGUAGGUCAGUAUGCCCCGAAUAUCCCGGGCUACACGCGAGCUACAAUGGUUGGUACAAUGGGUAUCUACCCCGAAAGGGGACGGGAAUCUCCUAAAACCAAUCUUAGUUCGGAUUGAGGGCUGCAACUCGCCCUCAUGAAGCUGGAAUCCGUAGUAAUCGCGUUUCAACAGAACGCGGUGAAUACGUCCCUGCUCCUU